rnacentral:rRNA from 1 species
UACGUAGGGUGCGAGCGUUGUCCGGAAUUAUUGGGCGUAAAGAGCUCGUAGGCGGUUUGUCGCGUCGGCCGUGAAAUCCCGCGGCUCAACUGCGGGUCUGCAGUCGAUACGGGCAGGCUAGAGUUCGGUAGGGGAGUCUGGAAUUCCUGGUGUAGCGGUGAAAUGCGCAGAUAUCAGGAGGAACACCGGUGGCGAAGGCGGGACUCUGGGCCGAUACUGACGCUGAGGAGCGAAAGCGUGGGGAGCAAACAGG